AUGGAGGAGGUGUGGUCGGCUAUCGCUCAGCGUGCCUCGACGAUCGCCGAGUACACUGACAUUAGCGUCUUCGCUCCUGAAAUAAAUGACGACGGCGUUGCCCAGCCGGAGGAGUGGUUCGGGCUGGACCCGGCAGCGGGUGAGGACUCGGCAGAGGAGAUCGCCUCCAGCGAUGAAGGCGAAGAUGACGAAGGAGAGGAGAGCGAAGACGUUGAGCCGGCCGGUGAAGCGGCCAGCCAGCCUCAGCCUGACCGUGCUUCCAGCAACGAGGCGCGUGCUAGCGCGCCCUCUGUGGGAGGCGGUGAUCAUGCCGAGGUUCGCCAGCCGGCCACUCCUCCAGCCGGCACUGCCGUCUCCACCGACCUGCCUGACUCGCCUGUCGCUCCCCUGGCUUAA
rnacentral:rRNA from 1 species